rnacentral:rRNA from 1 species
GACGAACGCUGGCUGCGUGCUUAACACAUGCAAGUCGAACGCUGAAACCCUGGUGCUUGCACCGGGGUGGAUGAGUGGCGAACGGGUGAGUAACACGUGAGUAACCUGCCCCCGACUUCGGGAUAAGCCCGGGAAACUGGGUCUAAUACCGGAUAUGAGGAUCCCUCGCAUGAGGGAUGCUGGAAAGUUUUUUCGGUUGGGGAUGGGCUCGCGGCCUAUCAGUUUGUUGGUGAGGUAAUGGCUCACCAAGGCGACGACGGGUAGCCGGCCUGGGAGGGCGACCGGCCGCACUGGGACUGAGACACGGCCCAGACUCCUACGGGAGGCAGCAGUGGGGAAUAUUGCACAUGGGGGAAACCCUGAUGCAGCGACGCAGCGUGCGGGAUGACGGCCUUCGGGUUGUAAACCGCUUUCAGCAGGGAAGAAGCCCCUCGGGGUGACGGUACCUGCAGAAGAAGUACCGGCUAACUACGUGCCAGCAGCCGCCGUAA